rnacentral:lncRNA from 1 species
CUGAUUCACCUGGCUCGAAAUUUCUUCAGGAAUAAUCAUAUCAUGCUUUUGCUCAGGGGGAGUGUGGCCACAAUAUCUGGAAAUACUGCUAAAGAAGUAAGAACACAAGUGAAGAUUGAAUUUGAAGAUUAGGGAUACCCUUUUUGUAAACAGUAGAUGAAAAAGGAAUGUAUAGUCAGGGAAUGGAGACACCAUUGAAAUAGAAGAGAUUUCAACAUGCUUCAAUAUAAAAAGAAGAGUUUUCUAGAAAGGUGUGGCUCUAUAUCAGAAAUAUGAGGUCAAAUGAAAUUUAUUUCUCAUCUCACAUGGAGAAUACUAAGAAGUGUUAUAGGAAAGAGAAAAUAACCAUAUGAUGCAACAGAGAGAGAGAUAGUCCUUGAGAAGACACAAAGAAAGGAGGAAGGGAACAGGACUGACAUUUUAUGCUGUGUGGUUUAAAUGUUCGGAUAUUCAUAUUCAUAUUUGUUACUUCCAUGUUAUUUGUCCUCUAG